GUUUUCCUUCGUUGUUUUCUUCUUAUUUACAAAGGUAUGGAAAACAAAAGAACAAACACUGUCACAAUGUACAAACAAAUGUGACAAGCUGUGUAGUCUGGAAAAUAGGAAUAGCCCAGUAAUGGUGGAAUAUUCAAUGUAUAUACACAAAAGUGGAAUGUCAAAGCUAUCUCUAUUUAGUCAUAAUAGAGGUAGAAUAGUAGUUAGGAUUGAAAGGGUAAUAGAGGUGAACAAUUAAACAAUUCGAAAAUGCUCCAUGAUAAACAUACAUAUAUGAGAAUAAUUAGGUAUAUGGUUUCAUAGUAUCUAAUAUGUGAGCUUUGUGUCUGGCUCUAUAGAUAUCAAGAAAUAUCUAUUAUAAUAUGCUCAAAAAAUAUGUAAUAGGUCCCUCUUUGGUAAUACAUAAUCCUGUUAGUGCUUCUCAUGUGUCGUAAUUAGUUUAGAGAGUCUGAUUAAUAGGGAAAGG